rnacentral:rRNA from 1 species
ACGAACGCUGGCGGCACGCUUAACACAUGCAAGUCGAACGAGAGAAGAGAAGCUUGCUUUUCUGAUCUAGUGGCGGACGGGUGAGUAACACGUGAGCAAUCUGCCUUUCAGAGGGGGAUACCGAUUGGAAACGAUCGUUAAUACCGCAUAACAUAAUUGAACCGCAUGAUUUGAUUAUCAAAGAUUUAUCGCUGAAAGAUGAGCUCGCGUCUGAUUAGCUAGUUGGUAAGGUAACGGCUUACCAAGGCGACGAUCAGUAGCCGGACUGAGAGGUUGAUCGGCCACAUUGGGACUGAGACACGGCCCAGACUCCUACGGGAGGCAGCAGUGGGGAAUAUUGCACAAUGGAGGAAACUCUGAUGCAGCGAUGCCGCGUGAGGGAAGAAGGUUUUAGGAUUGUAAACCUCUGUCUUCAGGGACGAAAAAUGACGGUACCUGAGGAGGAAGCUCCGGCUAACUACGUGCCAGCAGCCGCGGUAAUACGUAGGGAGCGAGCGUUGUCCGGAAUUACUGGGUGUAAAGGGAGCGUAGGCGGGAUCGCAAGUCAGAUGUGAAAACUAUGGGCUUAACCCAUAAACUGCAUUUGAAACUGUGGUUCUUGAGGGAAGUAGAGGUAAGCGGAAUUCCUAGUGUAGCGGUGAAAUGCGUAGAUAUUAGGAGGAACAUCAGUGGCGAAGGCGGCUUACUGGGCUUUAACUGACGCUGAGGCUCGAAAGCGUGGGGAGCAAACAGGAUUAGAUACCCUGGUAGUCCACGCCGUAAACGAUGAUUACUAGGUGUGGGGGGACUGACCCCUUCCGUGCCGCAGCAAACGCAAUAAGUAAUCCACCUGGGGAGUACGACCGCAAGGUUGAAACUCAAAGGAAUUGACGGGGGCCCGCACAAGCAGUGGAGUAUGUGGAUUAAUUCGAAGCAACGCGAAGAACCUUACCAGGUCUUGACAUCGUAUGCAUAGCUCAGAGAUGAGUGAAAUCUCUUCGGAGACAUAUAGACAGGUGGUGCAUGGUUGUCGUCAGCUCGUGUCGUGAGAUGUUGGGUUAAGUCCCGCAACGAGCGCAACCCUUACUGUUAGUUGCUACGCAAGAGCACUCUAGCAGGACUGCCGUUGACAAAACGGAGGAAGGUGGGGAUGACGUCAAAUCAUCAUGCCCCUUAUGACCUGGGCCUCACACGUACUACAAUGGCUGUAAACAGAGGGAAGCAAAGCCGCGAGGUGGAGCGAACCCCUAAAAGCAGUCUUAGUUCGGAUUGUAGGCUGCAACCCGCCUACAUGAAGUCGGAAUUGCUAGUAAUCGCAGAUCAGCAUGCUGCGGUGAAUACGUUCCCGGGCCUUGUACACACCGCCCGUCACGCCAUGGGAGUCGGUAACACCCGAAGCCUGUAGUCUAACCGCAAGGAGGACGCAGUCGAAGGUGGGAUUGAUGACUGGGGUG